rnacentral:rRNA from 1 species
GACGAACGCUGGCGGCGUGCUUAACACAUGCAAGUCGAACGAUGAAGAAAAGAAUCGAAGCUUCGGCAGAAAUUCAUUUCGGAUUAGUGGCAGACGGGUGAGUAACGCGUGAGCAACCUACCUCUUACAAAGGGAUAGCCUCGGGAAACCGGGAUUAAUACCAUAUAACAUUGCGACGAAGCAUUUCGAUGCAAUCAAAGCUACGGUGGUAAGAGAUGGGCUCGCGUCCCAUUAACCGGAUGGUGAGGUAACGGCUCACCAUAGUGACGAUGGGUAACCGGCCUGAGAGGGUGAACGGUCACACUGGAACUGAGACACGGUCCAGACUCCUACGGGAGGCAGCAGUGGGGAAUAUUGCACAAUGGAGGGAACUCUGAUGCAGCGACGCCGCGUGAGUGAUGAAGGAAUUCGUUUCGUAAAACUCUGUUCUAUGGGAAGAAAAGGACUGUACCAUAGGAGAAAGCUCCGGCUAAAUACGUG